CCUACGGGGGGCAGCAGUGAGGAAUAUUGGUCAAUGGACGGAAGUCUGAACCAGCCAUACCGCGUGCAGGAAGACGGUCUUAUGGAUUGUAAACUGCUUUUUUGCUAGGGUACAGACCCUGUCGAGCACAGGGGGAAGAAAGUAUAGUAAGAAUAAGCAUCGGCUAACUCCGUGCCAGCAGCCGCGGUAAUACGGAGGAUGCGAGCGUUAUCCGGAUUUAUUGGGUUUAAAGGGUGCGUAGGCUGUUAAGUAGGUCUAUGGUGAAAUCGUUGUGCUUAACACAACUGAGCUGUGGAAACCGUUUAACUAGAAUUUAAGUGGCGUAGGCGGAAUGAAUCAUGUAGAGGUGACAUUCAUAGAUAUGAUUCAGAACACCGUUCGCGAAGGCGGCUUACGAAGGUAAA
rnacentral:rRNA from 1 species